UAAAAGAAAAUAAAAUGUAGAACCCAAACAUAUCCUCAUUCUUAUUACACAAAAAAGAAUAACUCUAAAUUACAUAUUCCCAUUUUUAUUGCAAUGUUCUGCGAUUUUUGAGUUCAAGAUUUCUGGGAAUCAAUUGAACCGAAACAUUCUAUUCUUAUAAUCUAGCCGAGAGUCCAUGAAAUCGUAUUUAAGAUUUGGGGUAGGUGAAAAUUUUCAGAAACAUCAACAUUUGGGUGUUGGGUUCUUACCAAAGCUAAGCUAUCUUCUAAUCAAUCGCCGAUUAUUACCAGGCAACAAAACGACGCCACAUAUUUAGUGGUGUCCAAGAGGUUUGCACAUAACUCUUCAGCCCGCAGUGAUAAACGUAUGGAAUUAUUCAAUUUCACUUUUAAAAGCGAUCCGUCACCUCGACCGAAACCGUCACCACGUCCUCUGGAAUUGUUCAAUCUAUUGUUGAUCAUAAUUUUGAGUCUCUUUUCAAUUUUGGGUUCACCGUAUGGAUGAUUUGGGUCUCUUUUUUGCAGAACUUUUUUUUUUUUCCUUUUUUGUAUUAAUUAUACAUAUCAGAAGGAUUUUC